UCAAGAACAGAUAUAGGAAGUUUAUUACGAACAUAUGUACGUUCGCACAAUUUUGACGAUAAAAACAUAAAUAAGAUAUAUUACCAAAUCGGGUAAAUUUAAUUACAUAGACGUAUAUGCGUAUUUCUGAGUUAUACGUAAAUUUUGUAAGAGUUUCAUUUUUAUAAGAAAUCGAAUGUUCGCUGGUACGGCAUUGUUCUUGUAUAAGUGAUUUUUUGAGAAUCAAGAAUUAUGUAUGUAACAUUAAUAUUAUGACAAUAUGUUAUCAGAUCUAUAUCCGUUGUCCGGUUAUUAUAAAAAUUUAUUGUUUUAAUGUAAAAACAAUAACUAUAUAUUACAAUUAUAUAUGGCAAUAAUGAAUUAUAGGCUCAAGUUUUUAGGUUAAGAAUUACAUUAUAAUGAGCAAUAAGAACAUUCAGAGUCCUUUAUUAAGCCAUGAUAACCAGCUUACAUAUCAAAGUGAACAUCCUAGCAAACUUGUGGUGGAUGAUUGUGGUACAUUAAUAGAGGUAAAGGUAAUGACUAAAGGACAUAAACGAAAUCAUAAAAUGGUUAGCAGUACCCCAAAUAGCGAACAGAACACCGAAGAAGGACAAAGAUCUCGACAGAAAUGGUGUCAGACCUUUCAGGAUCAAACUCGUCCAAUUAUGAAGGAACAUUUACAGAACUUAUCAUUAAAAAAUCAACAUACAAAUAGAAUAUCAUCAGAAUCUAAAGAUAAUAAACAACGAUUGGAUUUUCAAAAGCAAUUAAAAAUUAAAAGUAAUAAUGUUAAUAAACAAUUGAUUGACGUGCAGGAGAAGCAAGUUUCAACGCAGAAAAAAUUGAAAGAACAUUUGAAAAAAUCUUUACAAACAGGUAUUUCAUCAGGUGUUCCUUCAUUAUGUGGUACAAAAUCGAUUGUCGUUGUUGACAAAGGAAUUCAAUGUGAUAGAAUAUUUGAUUCUUUCGACGAUAAAUUUAGUGAUUUUAAUCCUGUUAGAACAUUGAUAUUUUUAAUGAAGGAAUUAAAAGAUUUGAUAAAAGAUGAGAAAUCGUGUAAAAUUCUCAUGAAAAUGGAACAAAUGUUAUUUCGAAUAUCAGCAGAAUUUAAAAAGUCAACAAUGGAUUUAGAAGAAUUAUCUCUUCAUAAACGACUCCAUGUAACUACAGCGCAAUUAGAAGAAAUUAGUAAACGUGUGAAUAUUGAAUGUUCCUUACGUGAAGAACGAGAUUAUUUAAAACGAGAUAUUAAGAAACAAUCGGAGCUUUUGGAACUAGCACAGCAUAAACAAUUGGAUUUAGAAUCUUUGAUAUUGAAGUUAAAGGAACAAUUAAAUGAAUCGUCGAAAACGAUAGAAAGUAAAGAUAAAGUGAUAACAGAAUUAAAAACAAAUAUUAAUGAACAAAUGGAGCUUAUACGACAAAGUCAUUUAAAAAUGCAAUAUUUAAUGCUUGAAAAGGACAAAUUGUCUGUUCUUUCUUCUCAUAAAGAUUCACAAUUUAACGAAUUUCGUAAUAUUUUAAAGUUAGUAUUAAUAGAAUUCCAAAGUCAAAUCGCAGAACACUUGAUGGGUUUCAAAGAGGCCUGUACCAGGGAAGAAAAUUCCAACUUACAAGGUUCAGUAAUUCCUUGUGGAGUAGCCCAUUCUUCGCUUUCUCCAGCAUUCUCCGAUUCCAAUAUCCUUACAUCUUGGCAUGAUAUAUCUAUAUCUACAAUAGAGCCUAGUGCAAUUAAAACUGAAUCGAAAAAAGAAGGAUUUAGGAAAGAAAAUCUAUCCAUUUCCGAAUACAAGGAAGCAUACAAUGAUACGGUGAAAAACAAAAUGGAAGAGAUAAAUGAUGAAUCAAAAAAUAAUAAGGAUUCAAUGCAAUUGGAAUUUAUUAGUUUACCUGCAGCAGAAUCAAUUUUAUUGCCAUCUUAUAGAGAUCAAGGAUAUAUUAUAGAUCAAAGUGAUACCAAUAAGGAUAAUGAUAAUCCGUUUACUUCUAAAUCUAAAUUAUCUAAUCGUGUACAACAAUCAAUUGAUCCUGAUUCCAUUAUACCAGGGAGAAAAUCUUAUGUUCAAUGUUGUUCUCUUGAAAAGGACAAUGAAAGGGUAUCGUAUAAAAAAAAUAUAUCGAAAACUCCGAAAGCGUCACAAUCAUCGGACGAUAAGAAGAGAAAUCACGAUAAUCAAGGGAUAGAGGAUAGUCCUAGAUUUAUAGAAAGUAAUAUAUCGACUGAUUUAAUAACUCCCGAUAUAAAUGAACAAUUUCAAAAUAUAUUCGAUAAUGUCCGACGUAAGAGCAAAAUUUCUGUUAAUGUACCGAGUCCACCGCGACAUUAUCCUUAUCCGGAUUGGACCGAUAGUUCUCUACCUAGUAUCAGUGUCGAUUCCGAAUCAAAUAUUGUUCAAUCAAAUAUUUGAUUCCGUAUUUUUAUAUCCUCUCUCUCUCUCUCUCUCUCUCUCUCUCUCUCUCUCUCUCUCUCUCUCUCCCUCCUCUCUCCCUCUCUCUCUCUUUCUCUUACCUUUUAUCUUUUCUCUCUCUCCCUCUACCUCUUUCUCUCUCUUUAUCUGUUAUAUAUUCUUAUAUUUUUAUAUCAAAACUAAACUGAACUAUUAUUUCUUAAUAUUUUUACGUCAAUGAAAUCUGGGUAAUUAGAAUAUAUAUUAUAAAGUUGUAGGUAUAUGAUAAUGAGAAAUAAACGUUGGAGAGAAAUAUAUAUAUAUAUAUAUAUAUAUAUAUAUAUAUAUAUAUAUAUAUUAUAUAUAUACAUAUAUAUAUAUAUAUAUAUAUAUAUAUAUAUAUAUGUAUACAUAUAUAAAGUAUUUUAAAAAUAUAUUUUUUAUAAAUGAGGAUUCGCGCAUUUAAUUCUGUUUGAUAUAAUUACCCAUAAAUCAUGCAUUAUAUUUCGUUUUGAGUAAACUUUCAGAGUCCAUUUAUUCAUUACAUAGACUCCUCGUAAUCACCAAAAGAAAAAAAAAAAAAAGAAAAAAAGAAAAAAAA